CACGUAGGGCGCAAGCGUUGUCCGGAAUUAUUGGGCGUAAAGAGCUCGUAGGCGGUCUGUUGCGUCCGCUGUGAAAACUCGGGGCUUAACCCCGAGCCUGCAGUGGAUACGGGCAGACUAGAGGUAGGUAGGGGAGAAUGGAAUUCCCGGUGUAGCGGUGAAAUGCGCAGAUAUCGGGAGGAACACCGGUGGCGAAGGCAGCCCCCUGGGCUAACACUGACGCUCAGGCACGAAAGCGUGGGGGAGCAAACAGG
rnacentral:rRNA from 1 species